rnacentral:rRNA from 1 species
AAUUUUGGACAAUGGGCGCAAGCCUGAUCCAGCCAUGCCGCGUGAGUGAAGAAGGCCUUCGGGUUGUAAAGCUCUUUCGGACGGAAAGAAAUCGCGCAGGCUAAUACCCUGCGCGGAUGACGGUACCUUCAUAACAAGCACCGUCUAACUACGUGCCAGCAGCCGCGGUAAUACGUAUGGUGCGAGCGUUAAUCGGAAUUACUGGGCUUAUAGCGUGCGCAGGAGGUUGAUUAAGACAGGCGUGAAAUCCCCGGGAUUAAGCUGGGAACUGCGAUUGUGACUGGGCAGAUAGAGUACGGCAGAGGGGGGUGGAAUUACACGUGUAGCAAUGAAAUGCGUAGAGAUGUGGAGGAACACCGAUGGCGAAGGCAGCACCCUGAGACGAUACUGACGCUCAUGCACGAAAGCGUGGGUAGCAAACAGG